CACAGGAGAACUUAUGUUAAAGAUAGGCUCUCCUUGAGUGAGGAAAGAAUGAGAAGAUACUUCAUACUAAGCUGAGGAGGAUCUGAAAGGCUCAAGAAGCCAAGAUGGGAAGUCUCUCACGACCCUGUGGCUUGGCCAGGAGGAAGCCUGAACUUGAUACAGCUGACUUGCCCAGGGCCUGUCAACAGAAGUAGUGAGCUCGGCCCAGGUCCCCAGGAGCUCGCCAUUGGUGACCUGUGUGUCCUGAGUCUCCACUUAACAAAGGAGAAUAAGACAGGCAUGAGGAGGAACUGCACAGUGACAACAGACACCAGCAUUUUGACACCAAACCAAAGUAAGGAGCCAAGUUUGCAGGACAGGUGACCAGGUCAGGGAGGCAGCAACCGAAGGGGCGACAUAAAUCCAACGUUUUGCAACAAAAAUUAAUGAAGAAUAGCCAUGAAGAGGUGCCAAGCACACACCGAAGAGCACAGGUUGUGCUAAUGUGCGAACUUUAACCUUCUACAACAAAAGAAUGCGGUGCCACAUUAAAGACAGGGUGGAGGCUUUGGCUGCCAGAAAUGAAAACAUUCAUACUUUAUUGUAUCGUAUUUUACACAUUCAUGUAGACACAGGAGCCAAGUGAA